rnacentral:rRNA from 1 species
UGGGGAAUUUUGGGCAAUGGGCGCAAGCCUGACCCAGCAACGCCGCGUGAAGGACGAAAUCCCUUCGGGAUGUAAACUUCGAAAGUCAGGAAAGAAAUCCGACGGGCGAAUACCCUGUCGGGAUGACGGUACCUGACGUAAGCCCCGGCUAACUACGUGCCAGCAGCUGCGGUAAUACGUAGGGGGCAAGCGUUGUUCGGAAUUACUGGGCGUAAAGGGCGCGUAGGCGGCACGGCAAGUCGGGAGUGAAAGGCCUGGGCUCAACCGAGGAAUGGCUUUCGAGACUGCCGAGCUAGAGUGCGGAAGGGGCAACUGGAAUUCCCAGUGUAGCGGUGAAAUGCGUAGAUAUUGGGAAGAACACCGGAGGCGAAGGCGGGUUGCUGGGCCGACACUGACGCUGAGGCGCGAAAGCCAGGGGAGCAAACGGGAUUAGAUACCCCGGUAGUCCUGGCCCUAAACGAUGGAUACUUGGUGUGUGGGGUUCUUCGAGUCCCCGCGUGCCGGAGCUAACGCGGUAAGUAUCCCG